rnacentral:tRNA from 1 species
GCCUGGGUGCCUCAGUCAGUUAAGCAUCUGACUUUGGCUCAGGUCAUGAUCUUGCAGUUUGUGGGUUCAAGUCCCACAUCGGGCU